GCCGCCGAAGGUGGGGCAAGUGAUUGGGGUGAAGUCGUAACAAGGUAGCCGUACCGGAAGGUGCGGCUGGAUCACCUCCUUUCUAAGGA
rnacentral:rRNA from 1 species